UUCAGGUGCCGUGACAGACACCUGUAAUCCCAGCUGCUCAGGAGGCUGAGGCAGGAGGAUCACAGAAGUUCAAAACCAGCCUCAGCAAUUUAGUGAGGCCUUAAGCAACUCAGUGAGACCCUGUUUCUA
rnacentral:sRNA from 1 species